rnacentral:rRNA from 1 species
GACGAACGCUGGCGGCGUGCCUAAUACAUGCAAGUUGAGCGAUGAAGAUUGGUGCUUGCACCAAUUUGAAGAGCAGCGAACGGGUGAGUAACGCGUGGGGAAUCUGCCUUUGAGCGGGGGACAACAUUUGGAAACGAAUGCUAAUACCGCAUAACAACUUUAAACAUAAGUUUUAAGUUUGAAAGAUGCAAUUGCAUCACUCAAAGAUGAUCCCGCGUUGUAUUAGCUAGUUGGUGAGGUAAAGGCUCACCAAGGCGAUGGUACAUAGCCGACCUGAGAGGGUGUUCGGCCACAGUGGGACUGAGACACGGCCCAAACGCCUACGUGAGGCAGCAGUAGGGAAUCUUCGGCAAUGGACGAAAGUCUGACCGAACAACGCCGCGUGAGUGAAGAAGGUUUUCGGAUGGUAAAACUCUGUUGGUAGAGAAGAAAGUGGGGGAGAGUGGAAAGCGCAUCAAGUGACGGUAACUACCCAGAAAGGGACGGCUAACUACGUG